GCCUGGGUGGCUCAGUCGGUUAAGCAUCUGACUUUGGCUCAGGUCAUGAUCUUAUGGUUUGUGGGUUCAAGCCCUGCGUCUGGCU
rfam:Felis catus isolate Cinnamon breed Abyssinian chromosome B4, whole genome shotgun sequence.